CCUACGGGAGGCAGCAGUGGGGAAUAUUGCACAAUGGAGGGAACUCUGAUGCAGCGACGCCGCGUGAGUGAAGAAGUAUUUCGGUAUGUAAAGCUCUAUCAGUAGGGAAGAUAAUGACGGUACCUACAUAAGAAGCCCCGGCUAAAUACGUGCCAGCAGCCGCGGUAAUACGUAUGGGGCAAGCGUUAUCCGGAUUUACUGGGUGUAAAGGGAGCGUAGGCGGCAGUACAAGUCGGGAGUGAAAACUCGGGGCUCAACCCCGAGACUGCUCUCGAAACUGUACAGCUAGAGUGCAGGAAGGGCAGGCGGAAUUCCUGGUGUAGCGGUGAAAUGCGUAGAUAUCAGGAGGAACACCGGUGGCGAAGGCGGCCUGCUGGACUGUAACUGACGCUGAGGCUCGAAAGCGUGGGGAGCGAACAGGAUUAGAUACCCUGGUAGUC
rnacentral:rRNA from 1 species